CAGCACAGAGAAGCUUGCUUCUUGGGUGGCGAGUGGCGAACGGGUGAGUAACAUAUCGGAACGUACCGAGUAAUGGGGGAUAACUAAUCGAAAGAUUAGCUAAUACCGCAUAUUCUUUGAGGAGGAAAGCAGGGGACCUUCGGGCCUUGCGUUAUUCGAGCGGCCGAUAUCUGAUUAGCUAGUUGGUGGGGUAAAGGCCUACCAAGGCGACGAUCAGUAGCGGGUCUGAGAGGAUGAUCCGCCACACUGGGACUGAGACACGGCCCAGACUCCUACGGGAGGCAGCAGUGGGGAAUUUUGGACAAUGGGCGCAAGCCUGAUCCAGCCAUGCCGCGUGUCUGAAGAAGGCCUUCGGGUUGUAAAGGACUUUUGUCAGGGAAGAAAAGGAAAGGGUUAAUACCCCUGUCUGAUGACGGUACCUGAAGAAUAAGCACCGGCUAACUACGUGCCAGCAGCCGCGGUAAU
rnacentral:rRNA from 1 species